AACGAACGCUGGCGGCGUGCCUAAUACAUGCAAGUCGAGCGGAUCUCUUCGGAGAUCAGCGGCGGACGGGUGAGUAACACGUGGGCAACCUGCCUGUAAGAUCGGGAUAACUUCGGGAAACCGGAGCUAAUACCGGAUAAUCCUUUCCGACUCAUGUCGGGAAGCUGAAAGACGGCAUCUCGCUGUCACUUACAGAUGGGCCCGCGGCGCAUUAGCUAGUUGGUAGGGUAACGGCCUACCAAGGCGACGAUGCGUAGCCGACCUGAGAGGGUGAUCGGCCACACUGGGACUGAGACACGGCCCAGACUCCUACGGGAGGCAGCAGUAGGGAAUCUUCCGCAAUGGACGAAAGUCUGACGGAGCAACGCCGCGUGAGCGAAGAAGGCCUUCGGGUCGUAAAGCUCUGUUGUCAGGGAAGAACAAGUACCGGAGUAACUGCCGGUACCUUGACGGUACCUGACCAGAAAGCCACGGCUAACUACGUGCCAGCCGCCGCGGUAAUAC
rnacentral:rRNA from 1 species